GAUGAACGCUGGCGGUGUGUCUAAGGCAUGCAAGUCGAACGGGUUAAACUUUUGUAGCAAUACUUGAGUUUAACUAGUGGCAAACGGGUGAGUAACACAUUGGUAACCUGCCUUCAAGACGGGCACAACAUUGCGAAAGCGAUGCUAAUUCCCGAUGGUCUCACUGGUGAAAUUCCAGAUGAGUAAACGUCCAAAAGACGCUUGAAGAGGGGCCUAUGGCCUAUCAGCUAGUUGGUAAGGUAAUGGCUUACCAAGGCUACGACGGGUAGCAGGCGUGAGAGCGCGACCUGCCUCAGUGGGACUGCGACACUGCCCACACUCCUACGGGAGGCAG
rnacentral:rRNA from 1 species